UACGUAGGGUGCAAGCGUUGUCCGGAAUUAUUGGGCGUAAAGAGCUCGUAGGCGGUUUGUCGCGUCUGCUGUGAAAACGCGAGGCUCAACCUCGCGCCUGCAGUGGGUACGGGCAGACUAGAGUGCGGUAGGGGAGAUUGGAAUUCCUGGUGUAGCGGUGGAAUGCGCAGAUAUCAGGGAGGAACACCGAUGGCGAAGGCAGAUCUCUGGGCCGUAACUGACGCUGAGGAGCGAAAGCGUGGGGAGCGAACAGG
rnacentral:rRNA from 1 species